UACGUAGGGACCAAGCGUUGUUCGGAUUUACUGGGCGUAAAGGGGCGCGUAGGCGGCGUGUUAAGUCACUUGUGAAAUCUCCGGGCUUAACUCGGAACGGUCAAGUGAUACUGUCGGGCUAGAGUGCAGAAGGGGCAACUGGAAUUCUCGGUGUAGCGGUGAAAUGCGUAGAUAUCGAGAGGAACACCUGCGGCGAAGGCGGGUUGCUGGGCUGACACGUGACGCUGAGGCGCGAAAGCCAGGGGAGCGAACGGG
rnacentral:rRNA from 1 species